CACGCCGUAAACGAUGUCAACUAGUUGUUGGGUUCCUUGAGGACUUAGUAACGCAGCUAACGCAUUAAGUUGACCGCCUGGGGAGUACGGCCGCAAGGUUAAAACUCAAAUGAAUUGACGGGGGCCCGCACAAGCGGUGGAGCAUGUGGUUUAAUUCGAAGCAACGCGAAGAACCUUACCUGGCCUUGACAUGCUAAGAACUUUCCAGAGAUGGAUUGGUGCCUUCGGGAACUCAGACACAGGUGC
rnacentral:rRNA from 1 species